GACGAACGCUGGCGGCGUGCUUAACACAUGCAAGUCGAACGGAAAGGCCUGCUUUCCCUUGUGGAUUGCGGGUACUCGAGUGGCGAACGGGUGAGUAACACGUGAGUGAUCUGCCCCCAACUUGGGGAUAAGCCUGGGAAACUGGGUCUAAUUCCCGAUAGGACUGCAGGGUGGUGCCUGUGGUGGAAAACGAUUUUCUAGUGGUUGGGGAUGAGCUCGCGGCCUAUCAGCUGGUUGGUGGGGUAAUGGCCUACCAAGGCGGCGACGGGUAGCCGGCCUGAGAGGGUGGACGGCCAGAUUGGGACUGAGCUACGGCGCAGAAUCCUACGGGCGGCAGCAGUUGGGAAUACUGGACAAUGGGCGGAAGCGUGAUGCAGCGACGCUGCGGGGGGGAUGACGGGCUUCGGGUUGUAAACUCCUUGCGACCGCGAGGAAGCCACCUGGUUGGAAGGGUGGUGACGGUAGUGGUAGAAGAAGCACCGGCUAACUACGUG
rnacentral:rRNA from 1 species